rnacentral:rRNA from 1 species
GACGAACGCUGGCGGCGUGCUUAACACAUGCAAGUCGAACGGAAAGGCCCUGCUUUUGUGGGGUGCUCGAGUGGCGAACGGGUGAGUAACACGUGAGUAACCUGCCCUUGACUUUGGGAUAACUUCAGGAAACUGGGGCUAAUACCGGAUAUGAGCUCCUGCUGCAUGGUGGGGGUUGGAAAGUUUCGGCGGUUGGGGAUGGACUCGCGGCUUAUCAGCUUGUUGGUGGGGUAGUGGCUUACCAAGGCUUUGACGGGUAGUCGGCCUGAGAGGGUGACCGGCCACAAUGGGACAGAGAUACGGCCCAGAAUCCUACGGGAGGCAGCGGUUGGGAAUAUUGCGCAAUGGGCGGAAGCCUGAUGCAGCAACGCCGCGUGCGGGAUGACGGCCUUCGGGUUGUAAACCGCUUUCGCCUGUGACGAAGCGUGAGUGACGGUAAUGGGUAAAGAAGCACCGGCUAACUACGUG